GCCCAGUACCCAUCCUGUGAGCUGGUGCUUCUGCACAUGUACAUAACAGUGAUGUGCAGGGGACCCCAGAAGUCCACAGAUGUGCACUUCUGCAUCAGCAACAUUAGACACAACAUAGAAAUCAGAGAAGAGCUACUAUCCAGCAGUUUUAACCACCAAUACCCAUUUAUUUUAAUGGAAAAAAAAUCUCUGCAUUCUAUAUGUUCCAAAAAGAUUUACUAUUGAAACAAAUACAAUAUAUGGAACUCUAUCUGCAUAAUUCCACUACAACAAAGACAACAUAUGACUUCUACUUCCUACAGAAGGCCAACUGAAAAGCACAAGGGCAAACAUAGAUUGCAUAAGAAAGCAUGUGUGUGUGUGUGUGUGGUUAAAACCUUUAGUAAGCAACUGCAUUAAAAUAUGCUAAGACACUUACCUUACCCUAGUUUGUGGUGAGCUCUAAUAAAAAGCCACAGGCUGUCACUAGUUUUAUUUGAUAGAAAAAUUUGGUGUGAGCUUUGAUGGUUCACUUACCGCUUAUCAACAAGAAGAUAAACUUAGUACAAGCACUAACUUUCCUCUGACUUUUACAUGCUCACAGAGUAAAAAUCAAUUACUUUUCAAACGUCAUGAACAUGUUUUAUUUUCAGGUUUGCAAACAACGGUAGUCAAUUCACACAAAAGGGUACUUUUAAAACUACCUGUAUUUACUCUAUUUUAUGCCUGUAUAUAUGAAACGAACAGUGGGUAUGUGCAUAAAUGUAUGUCUAUACAUGUGGGUAUAUAUGUGUAUACAAGAUGGUACCUGCUGGCUUCUUCAUGUGUACAUUCGACCUCCAAGCUGACACCUGCAACUGCAACCUGCAUACACUGCGGAGGGAGAGAUUCUCUACCAUGAUCCGUGUCACCAUAAGAACCAGUGGGACUAUGGAUUCAGGACGCAUACAAAUGUAGACGGGUGCCCAUGAAAGAAUAGUUCAGCCCUUUUCUUGGUACUUGAUGGCAAGAUCUCCUGCCCUACAGAUUACCACCCUGGCCCAGGAUCAGAGCGUUUGGUGGCAAUGGGAAUUGGUGGCAGUCUGCAUACUAAAGACAAAGGACUCUUCGCUCUGCCCUCCUGUCUGUGGACCUGCCUGGCUGGCUGGUCAGCAUUCAGCCUUCAGACUGAACAUGGGCUGGUGGAGAUGGAGCUUCAUGGUAAAAGUGACCGCUCUGUGGCCUGCACUGUGCUGAGCUUUCUGCUGAGGUCCUGGGAGGCUCAGCUGUCUUAGGUUCUACCCCUCUCUGCUUAACCUUUUGAGGAAGAAUGACAUAUCAAAACUAGGCUUCUCCUGUAUAGUCUCUCUAUAUAAAUACCGUGUAUAUACAAAUACGAACCCACAGACACAGCUGGAUGUGUGCAGCACUGGCUAGCAACAUGUCAACACAUCAGAAAAGUAGUCAUUGUUCCUGCUCCCAGAAGGUCAAGUUAUAUGUCAUGAUCUUUAAACAUUCAGCAAAAAUUCAGAGGAUUCCAUUAAUCAAAGGAGGAAAGAAGAUGUUCUCAAAACGGUGAAGUACAGACUAAGUGAAAUUGCAAAGAAAAUGAAAAUCAGAACAAUUGAGGCCUAGUUGUGAAGUUCGAGAUCUGUAAACGGCAAUCUUCAGAUUUGGAUAGAUUUUUUUCCUCUUUUUUUUCUCGUUGCUAUGGAAACUUGGGAGUCAAGCUUCAGAUGUCAGGAGUUCUCACAGACCUGAAUGGAGAAGGCUCAGAGUUAGGUCAGGAAUACCACAACUCAAUUUAAAACAUUUUAGCUAAACCCUGGAUAAAUGACUGACAUGCUGUCACAAACAUCAGAUGUUUUUUACCCUUCCUCUAACAUGACAUCUGAAGAUAGAAUAAAUACUCCUGGUGGUUUAUGUCCUAAGAAGCUGGUCUUGGGGCUGGGGUUGCAGCUCAGUGGUAGAGAGUGUGGGCUCCAUCCCCUCCACUAAGAAGCCAGUCUUCUCUGAAAAUGCUUAUGAUGACGUCAGAUGCCAAACAUCUCCUCUGAGACCAACAGCAGCUAUUAGUGCGGCUACACACUUGAUC
ensembl:lncRNA